AUUACUGGACGUACCAUUGUUUGCACAAAUCUACAAACUACUUUAAACGAUGAGUAUUAUGAACCUGAAACAAAGACCAUUUUCUCAACUUGGGCAGAGGAGAAUUUAAAACAAGCUGAAUGCAUAUUGGAGAACUUCAGAAGGCAAGGAAUGGUCAUACUUAUGGGUGACCUUGCAUGUGGACCGGAAAUUCCGUCUAACGGCAUUAGAAAAGAACAUUUACCUUCAUACAACGCCUUAACAACUCAAUUCGUUUCACCAUAUGCUAGGACGAUUGGUCUUCAAACAAGUAGGGGUGCAAAAAUUAUCACUACACACGUGAUGAUGAAA